UGCGUCCUACGGGGGGCAGCAGUGGGGAAUAUUGCACAAUGGGGGGAACCCUGACGCAGCAACGCCGCGUGCGGGACGAAGGCCCUCGGGUUGUAAACCGCUUUCAGCAGGGAAGAUCCAAGACGGUACCUGCAGAAGAAGCUCCGGCUAACUACGUGCCAGCAGCCGCGGUAAUACGUAGGGGGCGAGCGUUAUCCGGAUUCAUUGGGCGUAAAGCGCGCGUAGGCGGCCGCCUAAGCGGGACCUCUAACCCCGGGGCUCAACCCCGGGCCGGGUCCCGGACUGGGCGGCUCGAGAGCGGGAGG
rnacentral:rRNA from 1 species